UAGGGAAUCUUCCGCAAUGGACGAAAGUCUGACGGAGCAACGCCGCGUGAGUGUAGAAGGAUUUCGGUUCGUAAAACUCUGUUGUUAGGGAAGAAAAAAUGUAUAGUAACUAUAUACAAAAGAGACGGUACCUAACCAGAAAGCCACGGCUAACUACGUGCCAGCAGCCGCGGUAAUACGUAGGUGGCAAGCGUUGUCCGGAAUUAUUGGGCGUAAAGCGCGCGCAGGUGGUUUAGAAAGUCUGAUGUGAAAGCCCACGGCUCAACCGUGGAGGGUCAUUGGAAACUAAUAAACUUGAGUGCAGGAGAGAAAAGUGGAAUUCCUCGUGUAGCGGUGAAAUGCGUAGAGAUUAGGAGGAACACCGGUGGCGAAAGCGGCUUUUUGGCCUGCAACUGACACUGAGGCGCGAAAGCGUGGGGAGCAAACAGG
rnacentral:rRNA from 1 species